rnacentral:rRNA from 1 species
AUUGAACGCUGGCGGCAUGCUUUACACAUGCAAGUCGAACGGCAGCGCGGGCUUCGGCCUGGCGGCGAGUGGCGAACGGGUGAGUAAUGCAUCGGAACGUGCCCAGUAGUGGGGGAUAGCCCGGCGAAAGCCGGAUUAAUACCGCAUACGACCUGAGGGUGAAAGCGGGGGACCGAAAGGCCUCGCGCUAUUGGAGCGGCCGAUGUCGGAUUAGCUAGUUGGUGGGGUAAAGGCUUACCAAGGCGACGAUCCGUAGCUGGUCUGAGAGGACGACCAGCCACACCGGGACUUAGACACGGCCCAGACUCCCACGGGAGGGCGCAGUUGGGAAUUUUGGACAAUGGGGGCAACCCUGAUCCCGCCAUGCCGCGUGGGGGAAGAAGGGCCUUCGGGUUGUAAACCGUUUUUGUUGGGAAGAAAUUCCUUGGGGCAAAACCCCCGGGGGAUGACGGUACCGGAAGAAUAAGCACCGGCUAACUACGUG